CCUACGGGAGGCAGCAGAGAGGAAUAUUGGUCAAUGGCCGUAAGGCUGAACCAGCCAAGUAGCGUGAGGGAAGACUGCCCUAUGGGUUGUAAACCUCUUUUAUGCGGGGAUAAAGGUGUCCACGUGUGGAUGUUUGCAUGUACCGCAUGAAUAAGGACCGGCUAAUUCCGUGCCAGCAGCCGCGGUAAUACGGAAGGUCCGGGCGUUAUCCGGAUUUAUUGGGUUUAAAGGGAGCGUAGGCCGGUCUUUAAGCGUGCCGUGAAAUUUUGUGGUUCAACCAUGAGAGUGCGGCGCGAACUGGAGACCUGGAGUGCGCGGAAGGCAGGCGGAAUUCGUGGUGUAGCGGUGAAAUGCUUAGAUAUCACGAAGAACCCCGAUUGCGAAGGCAGCCUGCCGCAGCGUGACUGACGCUGAAGCUCGAAAGCGCGGGUAUCGAACAGGAUUAGAUACCCUUGUAGUC
rnacentral:rRNA from 1 species